GUCUUAUAUUUUCAGUAGCUUCCAUUAGCUUUUCCUUUACAAUGUAAACAGGUUUUGAAGCUUCUUCCUUGUGUUCUGCUUUUGGAAAUUCUGCCGCUAGAUCAACUUGCUCCUUCUUGUCCUGAACAGCCUUAAUUGAUGGUUCCUCGAUGUCAACUAAUGUUGGCUGCUGGUCAUGUUUUUACUCCACACGGUCUAUUUAAGAUUCUUUGCUUAAAGUAUAAAUAUUUUUCAGCCUCUGCUUGGACCUCUGGUUAACUUUUGGUAAUAGCGACAACUUGAUCAGGAAUAAUCUGAGUCAGGGGUUCCUUGGUUAGUUCUGCAAUAUAUAUGCUAGUGACAUCCAAUGCAGGUGUAUCAUCUUGUUUCUUAACUUCUUCAAACAGUAAGAGGCUCAAUUUCCUUGAUGCUAUAUUUUCUUCAGUUUCUGCUGAAGUUUCAGGUAUGCUUUGCAGUUCCUCAGAUUUUUGCUUUUAUCUAUCGUAAGUUGUGGCUGGUGAAGCAGGUGGUUCAUCAACUUCUUUUACCUUUAACUUUUAUGUGAGAACAAUUACUUUAAAAAUUUCAUUAUUUAAUUAAUUGUCUUUUAUGCUUUGUAGAUUACUUAGACACUGUUUAUUUGAAGAAGUAUUUCCUACAAGUAUAUGUUUUGGGAGGAUAACUGCUUUAUAUGGAAUACUUAAGGUUAAGGUAUAUUGCAAGUGAGUUAGGAAGCAGCUUAAUAGGGCCAAGGAUCUUUUUCUCAACGGUGCUUUUUGAGGCAAGUUUAAGAAUUGUGGAUAAGAAAGUGGGGAGAUAUGGAACCUCUUUAUUAAAAAAACUGCUCUUAAUUAAAAUUGAUUUUGAUUUAUUUUUAUUACAGAAUCACAAUUUAAUUCAGAUGGAAACAUAUUGCUAUUUGGUACUUGAGCAGAUGACACAUAAUUAUUUAUUACGCAAAUCAUAGUAGUAAAUUGUAAUAUUAAUGUCUU